rnacentral:ncRNA from 1 species
AGUGAGUAUGGUUGCAAAGCUGAAACUUAAUGGGAAUUGAUGGAAGACCACCAACAGGAGUGAAGCCUGCAACUUAAUUUGACCCAAUACGUGAAACCUCACCUGAUCCAGACAUGGAAAAGAUUGACACACUGAGUGGAUCGGUGUGUCUCUACCCUUCGCUGAGAGGUGUGGGUAACCCACCGAUCCCCCCUCGUGAUAGGGAUUAGCGAUUGCAAUUAUUUCCCGUGAACAGUGAUGGGAUGUAACUGUGCUUAAGUUUUCAUCUAUUCCACUUUACGUA